ensembl:lncRNA
CAAGCUUCCACACCUGAUUCCAAUGAUCAGCAAACGAUGGAAGCGCAGCAGCCUUUCACAUCAGAAGAGAUCAUCGUCCAGCUCCACACACGCAGCAGCAACCUGUAUUUCAUCUGAAUAUUUGAAACGGUUUCAAUCGUCUUUUCAUCCUAACAUGUAUCACUAAAUGGACCCUUCAUGUUAAGUCCACUCUGUCCUAUGAGAGUAAAUGUGGGAGCAGAGGUCUCGUCUGGAGCCCAUACAGGAAGAGUCAGAGUGGGAAGAUGAAACCACAGGAAGCAAAACCACAGAAGGAGAAGAGGAGGAGGAGGAGGAGGAGGGGACAACAGCAAAGGUGAUUGCAGAAGAUGAGAGCGAAGAAGAUGAAGAUGCUGGGCUGAGGGUUAUGCGACCUAGUCGAACAUCUCGUUCCUUCAGCCAAGAGAGUUGUCUUCAUAUGCAACCCGAAAGCCAAAACGAUGGAGCGUCCGAUCAGAGCACACGUUUAGACUCCUCGGCUGAGGCGUGUCCCCCCCUUCAGCGGACACGGCUGUCCACUAGUGUCAAGCUGAGAAUGAAGGUCUUCAAGAGGAAGAUAAAUAUAUUAGCUGAACCGUCAGCGCAGAAGAAGAAACAUGAGGUGGAGAAGAAGAAGAAGAAGAAGAAGAAGAAGAGGUCUCUGGCCGAGGAGCCGUUUCCUGGGUGGCUGGUGGACCUGAUGGUCAACAUUGAAGAGGCAACAACUCACCAACUGGUGGUGGAGUAACCACGUCCUUCUACACGGGGGCCCAUUGGAAGACGUGAUAAGAAGUCCAUGUGCCAGCCACCGGUUCUCUGUUUUCAUCAGUGGACAAACAAAAACCGCAACCACAGGCUGCAAUAAAGAGGAAUAAAAUCACUGUCUGUGUCAAAAUACUAUUAUUCUGUUUGUUUGUUUGCUCUUUCUUCUAAAACUGUUCUUGUUUCUUCUUUUCACACGUGUGUCUCCCAUCAGAAACACAACAUUUCCCUGUACCACAGACUUUAUCCGUCUCAAGAUUGGACAACACAAAGAAGACAUUACAUUACAUCAUCAGACGCUUUUAACCAAAGCGACUUACAUUACACUUUAAACUCAUGGCUUUUUCACAUUUUUGCCCGGGGAGCAAUUAGGGGUCAGGUGUCUUGCUCAGGGACACUUCGACAUGGAACAUGGGGCAGCCUGGAAUCGAACCACCAACCUUUUGCUUCCCAGCACACCUUCUCUAACCGCUGCGCCACGACGACCAAAGUCCAAUCUGUGGGCACGUCGAUCAAAUUUCUCUUUUGGGGUCCUGUUCUCGAUAACCACGAUAAACCUUCUGUAGUGUCUUUUCAGGUGUUGGUUGUAUGAAGAUGCUUUACUUGAAUAGAAGAAAAAUCUUUAAAAUCC